rnacentral:rRNA from 1 species
GACGGGGGGGGCAAGUGUUCUUCGGAAUGACUGGGCGUAAAGGGCACGUAGGCGGUGAAUCGGGGUUGAAAAGUGAAAAGUCGCCAAAAAAGUGGCGGAAUGCUCUCGAAACCAAUUCACUUGAGUGAGACAGAGGAGAGUGGAAUUUCGUGUGUAGGGGUGAAAUCCGUAAAUAUACGAAGGAACGCCAAAAGCGAAGGCAGCUCUCUGGGUCCCUACCGACGCUGGGGUGCGAAAGCAUGGGGAGCGAACAGG